rnacentral:lncRNA from 1 species
GUGUAAGAAGUGCCUUUCACCCUUCACCAUGAUUGUGAGAACUUUCCCAGCCAUGUGGAACUAUGGCAGAAGCAAUUCUUCAGUGAUGCCUUCAAGCAUCACCUCCAAACUUCUGAGACAUCUGGGAAGCAGUGCUGUAGAGCUGACCUACCUUGAAUGAGACCUUUAAAUGUGCCCACAGCAGAAUCCACAUGCAGUACAUCUGGUCCAGCUACAGCCCCAGGCAGAGCCACAACUGUGCUGGCGCCUGGAGCUGCCAGCCCCACUGCAGCAGCCGGACUGACAUUCAGACAUGGAGCAAGUUGGACUGCAUAGGGACCCACCUCUGAGAUUAACACUGUCUGUAAGGAAUGACUUCUAGGAAGAAAAUAAAAAGUUCUGAUUAAACAGCCGUAUUCGUGCUGGAAGUCUACACUUUGAAUUUCUUGCACUCCAAGAUUCUAACUGUUGACCAGUUAUCAGCUGACAUUCUAUAAAUGUUUGAUGAGUAGCUGAAUGGCUGAAAAGAUUAGUGCAAACUAAAGAAUUACUAAAGUCCUGAAUGUGAUGUUUGGUUAUGUCUAUAAUUUAUAGAAUUUUCCCUAUUAUUUUAAAUGCUAACAUUUCAUGGAAGUAUAUUUGAAUAUAAAAGAUUGUAAAAUUACUAAUCCAGCAUUUUAAAAA